rnacentral:rRNA from 1 species
CCUACGGGAGGCAGCAGUCGAGAAUCAUUCACAAUGGGGGAAACCCUGAUGGUGCGACGCCGCGUGGGGGAUGAAGGUUUUCGGAUUGUAAACUCCUUUUGUUAGAGAAGAUAAUGACGGUAUCUAACGAAUAAGCACCGGCUAACUCCGUGCCAGCAGCCGCGGUAAUACGGAGGGUGCAAGCGUUACUCGGAAUCACUGGGCGUAAAGAGCGCGUAGGCGGGAUAGCAAGUCAGAUGUGAAAUCCUAUGGCUUAACCAUAGAACUGCAUUUGAAACUGUUAUUCUAGAGUAUGGGAGAGGUAGGUGGAAUUCGUGGUGUAGGGGUAAAAUCCGUAGAGAUCAAGAGGAAUACUCAUUGCGAAGGCGACCUGCUAGAACAUAACUGACGCUGAUGCGCGAAAGCGUGGGGAGCGAACAGGAUUAGAUACCCUAGUAGUC